GUUGGUUUGUCCGAGUGGUUAAGGAGAUCCUCUGCACAUGAGUUCGCAUGGGUUCGAACCCCAUAGCCAGCA
rnacentral:tRNA from 1 species